rnacentral:rRNA from 1 species
AGAUGAUUUUAGUGCUUGCACUAAAUGAAACUAGAUACAAGCGAGCGGCGGACGGGUGAGUAACACGUGGGUAACCUGCCCAAGAGACUGGGAUAACACCUGGAAACAGAUGCUAAUACCGGAUAACAACACUAGACGCAUGUCUAGAGUUUGAAAGAUGGUUCUGCUAUCACUCUUGGAUGGACCUGCGGUGCAUUAGCUAGUUGGUAAGGUAACGGCUUACCAAGGCAAUGAUGCAUAGCCGAGUUGAGAGACUGAUCGGCCACAUUGGGACUGAGACACGGCCCAAACUCCUACGGGAGGCAGCAGUAGGGAAUCUUCCACAAUGGACGAAAGUCUGAUGGAGCAACGCCGCGUGAGUGAAGAAGGGUUUCGGCUCGUAAAGCUCUGUUGGUAGUGAAGAAAGAUAGAGGUAGUAACUGGCCUUUAUUUGACGGUAAUUACUUAGAAAGUCACGGCUAACUACGUGCCAGCAGCCGCGGUAAUACGUAGGUGGCAAGCGUUGUCCGGAUUUAUUGGGCGUAAAGCGAGUGCAGGCGGUUCAAUAAGUCUGAUGUGAAAGCCUUCGGCUCAACCGGAGAAUUGCAUCAGAAACUGUUGAACUUGAGUGCAGAAGAGGAGAGUGGAACUCUGGGUGUGAGGGGGGGG